CAGUAGAUACCUACAUGUGAUUAUUUAAGGGGCGGAUCAACAAAUUCCAGAAAGGCCGGCAACGCAUUGGCAGUUCCUCUGGUGCUGCAAAUGUUCAUUGGCGGCGGUAAUCACUUAACAUCAGGUGAUCCGCCUGCUCGUUUGCUCGCUAAUUUU